UGGGGAAUAUUGCGCAAUGGGGGGAACCCUGACGCAGCCAUGCCGCGUGAAUGAAGAAGGCCUUAGGGUUGUAAAGUUCUUUCGGUAUUGAGGAAGGUUGAUGUGUUAAUAGCACAUCAAAUUGACGUUAAAUACAGAAGAAGCACCGGCUAACUCCGUGCCAGCAGCCGCGGUAAUACGGAGGGUGCGAGCGUUAAUCGGAAUAACUGGGCGUAAAGGGCACGCAGGCGGUUAUUUAAGUGAGGUGCGAAAGCCCCGGGCUUAACCUGGGAAUUGCAUUUCAGACUGGGUAACUAGAGUACUUUAGGGAGGGGUAGAAUUCCACGUGUAGCGGUGAAAUGCGUAGAGAUGUGGAGGAAUACCGAAGGCGAAGGCAGCCCCUUGGGAAUGUACUGACGCUCAUGUGCGAAAGCGUGGGGAGCAAACAGGAUUAGAUACCCUGGUAGUCCACGCUGUAAACGCUGUCGAUUUGGGGGUUGGGGUUUAACUCUGGCGCCCGUAGCUAACGUGAUAAAUCGACCGCCUGGGGAGUAUGGCCGCAAGGUUA
rnacentral:rRNA from 1 species